rnacentral:rRNA from 1 species
UGGUGCGAUCAUACCAGCACUAAUGCACCGGAUUCCAUCAGAACUUCGAAGUUAAACGUGCUUGGGCGAGAGUAGUACUAAGAUGGGUGACCUCUUUGGAAGUACUCGUGUUGCACCCC